UUUUUUUAAUAACGGUGGUGGUAGGCAUUUCUUGCUGAGAGAUAUGUAUGAUGAUAUGAUGCUGGAUGGAGUACAGCCAACUAGGGAUACAUUCCAUUCUGUCAUCAGUUAGUGGAAAGGUGCUUUCAUGUUUGUUAUCAUGGACUUUCAUUCUUUCUGGAAUUUUCCGUUUGCUUGAUUUUGUUUUGUUGCAGGUGGAUAAGCAAAAUGCUCAUUUCUUUGGUGUUACGAUCAACGAGCAACAAGCCGAGUGUGGUAUUGUAGUAAGAGUACUUCAAAUGCACAAAGCAAAUUUAAGUUACUUUAUUUCGAGCAAGAUGUGAAUGGCAGUUAUGGUUUGGCCCUACAGAAUGUAUGCAGAAGAAAGAAGUUACUACUUUUUCUCUAGGUGAUUGAUGAAAUAGAUGGAGCUCUUGGUGAUGGCAAAGGUGUUGUGGAGGUUAUUCUAAAGAUGGUAAUUGUGUGUUUUCCAUUAUUGAAUGCUGCUUAUUUAUUAAAUUUAAUUGUCUGCACGCUUAUUUGUGUUUUAAUAUAAUUGUAGUUAUAGUUAUUUUAUUACUAUAAUUGCUGUUGGUGAUUAAAUAUUACUGCUUUCGUUGUUAUCAGUUAUUGUUGUCAUGUAUAAUUCUUGUUUUCCUUAAUGUUUAAUGCAAACUGUCAGUUAUUGCAUUUACUUCAUUAUCAACAUGAGAAUCAUAAGGGAAAUUGACUGUUUAAACUCCAUGGUUGCACAUUAUAUACGUUAACAGAAACGUCCAUUUCUACCGAGGGUAAUAUAUUCAGCUAUGGUGGUUUUUAUUUCCCAGUGCUCAUUAUAUUUUUCACUUUUAUUUUAUGUUGUUCAUAUAUUUUUGUGCAGAUAAGAAGGCUCUCUAAAACCCUGCAGUUUUCUAUCUGAGUCGCCUCUUCACCAUCUCCUUCAAAACGCGCAGUCUCCAAGCUUACAAUCCGGCCGAUGCGAAAGGAAACAGAGGGCUCCUAAGGUCUGGUUAUGGAUAAAGAGAUGGCGGGGAAACGUCGAAGAAAGGAAAGAAAAAAACAUAUAAAAAAAAAACAUAAGGGGUUCAUAUAUUUGUUCAACCAACAGUUAAUCGUGUUGUCAGCAGGUGAUCCUUGACUACCAUGGCUGAUGUUUAAUUGCUGUGACAAUUUCAAGCCUUUCCAUUUCUGAUGGGGAACAUUGGGUCAAGUCGGGAUUGAUACCAACAGAGGCUUUUGUAGGAGCUGUAAUAUUAUCUAGGAGCUGUAAUAUUCUCUAGGAGGUGUAAUAUUCUCUUGUUUUUAUUCAUAAAACACUUGUACAAUUUUCUCUUGCUAAUUCAGAUUUUGUUUUUAGUUUUUGUA